rnacentral:rRNA from 1 species
UACAGAGGUCUCAAGCGUUUGUUCGGAUUCAUUGGGCGUAAAGGGCUCGUAGGUGGCCAACUAAGUCAGACGUGAAUCCCUCGGCUUAACCGGGGAACUGCGUCUGAUACUGGAUGGCUUGAGUUCGGGAGAGGGAUGCGGAAUUCCAGGUGUAGCGGUGAAAUGCGUAGAUAUCUGGAGGAACACCGGUGGCGAAGGCGGCUACCUGGACCGGUUCUGACGCUGAGGCGCGAAAGCGUGGUAGCAAACAGG